rnacentral:rRNA from 1 species
GAGGUGAAAGGCUACGGCUCAACCGUAGUAAGCCUUUGAAACUGGGAAACUUGAGUGCAGGAGAGGGCGGUGGAACUCCAUGUGUAGCGGUAAAAUGCGUAGAUAUAUGGAAGAACACCAGUGGCGAAGGCGGCCGCCUGGCCUGUUGCUGACGCUGAGGCACGAAAGCGUGGGGAGCAAAUAGG